rnacentral:rRNA from 1 species
GCAGGCCUAACACAUGCAAGUCGAACGGUAACAGGAAGCAGCUUGCUGCUUUGCUGACGAGUGGCGGACGGGUGAGUAAUGUCUGGGAAACUGCCUGAUGGAGGGGGAUAACUACUGGAAACGGUAGCUAAUACCGCAUAACGUCGCAAGACCAAAGAGGGGGACCUUCGGGCCUCUUGCCAUCGGAUGUGCCCAGAUGGGAUUAGCUAGUAGGUGGGGUAAAGGCUCACCUAGGCGACGAUCCCUAGCUGGUCUGAGAGGAUGACCAGCCACACUGGAACUGAGACACGGUCCAGACUCCUACGGGAGGCAGCAGUGGGGAAUAUUGCACAAUGGGCGCAAGCCUGAUGCAGCCAUGCCGCGUGUAUGAAGAAGGCCUUCGGGUUGUAAAGUACUUUCAGCGGGGAGGAAGGGAGUAAAGUUAAUACCUUUGCUCAUUGACGUUACCCGCAGAAGAAGCACCGGCUAACUCCGUGCCAGCAGCCGCGG